rnacentral:rRNA from 1 species
ACGGGGUGCAGCAGGCGCGAAAACUUUACAAUGCGGGAAACCGCGAUAAGGGGACACCGAGUGCCAGCAUCCUAUGUUGGCUGUCCAUAUGUCUAAAUCACAUGUGUUAGCAAGGGCCGGGCAAGACCGGUGCCAGCCGCCGCGGUAACACCGGCGGCCCGAGUGGUGGCCACUAUUAUUGGGUCUAAAGGGUCCGUAGCCGGUUUGGUCAGUCUUCCGGGAAAUCUGACGGCUCAACCGUUAGGCUUUCGGGGGAUACUACCAGGCUUGGGACCGGGAGAGGUAAGAGGUACUACGGGGGUAGGAGUGAAAUCUUGUAAUCCCUGUGGGACCACCAGUGGCGAAGGCGUCUUACCAGAACGGGUCCGACGGUGAGGGACGAAAGCUGGGGGCACGAACCGGAUUAGAUACCCGUGUAGUCC